rnacentral:lncRNA from 1 species
AACACCAUUGUGCCCUGGCUCCUGGGCUUCCGUGUGCACAGGAAAGCCUUCUCCUCUACAUCCUCAACCAGGCAGGGCUGGUUUCCUCUCCCUCACCUUCCAGACUGCACAUUUCCUGGAGACACUCCUCACUUCCUUCCACUCUGUCUCCAGCUCCAUCGCCAACUGCUUCACCGCUGUGCUGACCUUUGCCUACCUCAAGGGCCUGACCUUGCUCAGCACCAUUAGCCCUGAGCGCUGCUUGUCCAUCCUGGGCCCCAUCUGGUACCACUGCUGGUGCUCAAGACACACAUCAGCUCUCAAAUGUGCCAGCCCUGGGCCCUGUGUCUGCUGCUGAAUCUUCUGGAAGAGAAAUAUUGUGGCUUCCUUUUAGGGAUUUUGACUGUGAUUGGUGUCCAGUAUUUGAUUUCAUCAUUGGUGGUUCUUGCUAGCUCCAGCCUGGCCCUGCUGGUCAGAAUCCUCUGUGAGUCCCAGCAGCUGCAGCUGACCAGGCUGUGCGUGGUCAUCCUACUCAGAGUGCUGGUCUUCCUCCUCAGCAGCCUGCAUUUUGGCAUCCAAAGUUUUCUGCUGUACCAGUUUCAGGAGGAUUUCAACAUGUCCUUACACAGGGAUGGUCCUGUUUAUAGCAGUGCCAUCUCUAUCAUUUGCUUUUUUGUUGACUCCUUUAAGCAUCAGAGGCAGGGGCGGCUGGCCCUCAAGUUGGCUUUUCUGAGGGUUUUGGAUGACACAGCUGAGACAGCAAUCAUCCUGAUAAUGAUUAACAAAAUUCAAUCUACUCCC